rnacentral:rRNA from 1 species
AUUGAACGCUGGCGGCAUGCCUUACACAUGCAAGUCGAACGGUAACAGGGAGCUUGCUCCGCUGACGAGUGGCGAACGGGUGAGUAAUGUAUCGGAACGUACCUUUUAGUGGGGGAUAACGUAGCGAAAGUUACGCUAAUACCGCAUAUUCUCUGAGGAGGAAAGCAGGGGACCUUCGGGCCUUGCGCUAAUAGAGCGGCUGAUAUCAGAUUAGCUAGUUGGUGAGGUAAAGGCUCACCAAGGCGACGAUCUGUAGCGGGUCUGAGAGGAUGAUCCGCCAUACUGGAACUGAGACACGGUCCAGACUCCUACGGGAGGCAGCAGUGGGGAAUUUUGGACAAUGGGGGCAACCCUGAUCCAGCCAUGCCGCGUGAGUGAAGAAGGCCUUCGGGUUGUAAAGCUCUUUCGGCCGGGAAAAAAUCGCAUGGGCUAAUACCCUGUGUGGAUGAUGGUACCGGAAUAAGAAGCACCGGCUAACUACGUGCCAGCAGCCGCAGUAAAAC